rnacentral:rRNA from 1 species
UACGUAGGGGGCCAGCGUUGUCCGGAUUUAUUGGGCGUAAAGAGCGUGUAGGCGGCUAGAUAGGUCCGUUGUGAAAACUCGAGGCUCAACCUCGAGACGCCGGUGGAAACCAUCUAGCUAGAGUCCGGAAGAGGAGAGUGGAAUUCCUGGUGUAGCGGUGAAAUGCGCAGAUAUCAGGAAGAACACCCGUGGCGAAGGCGGCUCUCUGGGACGUGACUGACGCUGAGAAGCGAAAGCAUGGGGAGCGAACGGG